GACGAACGCUGGCGGCGUGCUUAACACAUGCAAGUCGAACGGAAAGGCCCUGCUUUUGUGGGGUGCUCGAGUGGCGAACGGGUGAGUAACACGUGAGUAACCUGCCCUUGACUUUGGGAUAACUUCAGGAAACUGGGGCUAAUACCGGAUAGGAGCUCCUGCUGCAUGGUGGGGGUUGGAAAGUUUCGGCGGUUGGGGAUGGACUCGCGGCUUAUCAGCUUGUUGGUGGGGUAGUGGCUUACCAAGGCUUUGACGGGUAGCCGGCCUGAGAGGGUGACCGGCCACAUUGGGACUGAGAUACGGCCCAGACUCCUACGGGAGGCAGCAGUGGGGAAUAUUGCACAAUGGGCGGAAGCCGGAUGCGGCAACGCCGCGUGCGGGAUGACGGCCUUCGGGUUGUAAACCGCUUUCGCCUGUGACGAAGCGUGAGUGACGGUAAUGGGUAAAGAAGCACCGGCUAACUACGU
rnacentral:rRNA from 1 species